AAGCUCAGUUCAUAGUUACUGUUUGUUAACUGCAACUGAACUGCACGGAGGCUUUGUGCUGGAGAAUUUCUCUAAGAGAUAGGAUGAAACAGUGCCUAGCCCAAAGAAUUCACAGGAGAGGAUGUUUUUCUCAUGCAGGAUCUUACUUUGGCGAUGAAAAAAUAUCCAGGCUUCCUCGUGUCUCAGAAUUACCACCUGAACUGGCAGAAGCACAAAGAGGAGACUGAAGCUGCCCAGAUGCUGAAACUUAAUUAGGGGUGAAUAAAUCAGCCUUGCUUGAAAAGUCAAGAAAAUGCAAUAUUCAA